rnacentral:tRNA from 1 species
UCCCAUGUGACUUAGUGGGUAAAGAAUCCGCCUGUAAUGUGGGAGACUUGGGUUCGAUCCCUGGGUUGGGAA